CCUCAGUAACGGCGAGUGAAGCGGCAACAGCUCAAAUUUGAAAUCUGGCUCCUUCGGGGUCCGAGUUGUAAUUUGCAGAGGAUGCGUCGGGUACGGGUCCCUACCGAGUUCCCUGGAACGGGACGCCAUAGAGGGUGAGAGCCCCGUCUGGUAGGAUACCCAGCCCAUGUGACGCUCCCUCGACGAGUCGAGUAGUUUGGGAAUGCUGCUCUAACGGGAGGUAUACUCCUUCCAAAGCUAAAUACCGGCUGGAGACCGAUAGCGCACCAAGUAGAGUGAUCGAAAGAUGAAAAGCACUUUGAAAAGAGAGUCAAACAGCACGUGAAAUUGUUAAAAGGGAAGCACUCGCUACCAGACUUGGGUUUGGCGGUUCAACCGGGGCCACGCCCCGGGGCAUUCCGCCAGCUCAGGCCAGCAUCAGCUUUCCGUCGGGGGCAAAGACGUCGGGAAUGUGGCUCCCCCUCGGGGGAGUGUUAUAGCCCGGCGUGUCAUACCCUUCGGGGGGCUGAGGUACGCGCUUCUGCAAGGAUGCUGGCGUAAUGGUAGCUAGUGACCCGUCUUGAAACACGGACCAAGGAGUCAACCUUAUGUGCGAGUGCCCGGGCGUAAAACCCCAGCGCGGAAUGAAAGUGAACGUAGGUGAGAGCUUCGGCGCAUCACCGACCGAUCCUGAUGUCCUCGGACGGAUUUGAGUGAGAGCAUAUAGGGUUGGACCCGAAAGAAGAUGAACUAUGCGUGUGUAGGGUGAAGCCAGAGGAAACUCUGGUGGAGGCUCGCAGCGGUUCUGACGUGCAAAUCGAUCGUCAAACAUGCGCAUGGGGGCGAAAGACUAAUCGAAUCUUCUGGUAGCUGGUUUCCGCCGAAGUUUCCCUCAGGAUAGCAGUGUUGAUCCCAGUUUUAUGAGGUAAAGCGAAUGAUUAGGGACUCGGGGGCGCUAUAUUGCCUUCAUCCAUUCUCMAACUUUAAAUAUGUAAGAAGUCCCCGUUUCUUAACUGAACGCGGACGCUGGAAUGUCACAACACUAGUGGGCCAUUUUUGGUAAGCAGAACUGGCGAUGCGGGAUGAACCGAACGCGAGGUUAAGGUGCCGGAGUGGACGCUCAUCAGACACCACAAAAGGUGUUAGUACAUCUUUGACCAGCAGGACGGUGGCCAUGGAAGUCGGAAUCCGCUAAGGACUGUGUAACAACUCACCUGCCGAAUGUACUAGCCCUGAAAAUGGAUGGCGCUCAAGCGUCCCACCCAUACCUCGCCCUCGACGCUGGCUCGGCGCGUCGAGGAGUAGGCGGACGUGGAGGUCGGUGACG
rnacentral:rRNA from 1 species